rnacentral:ncRNA from 1 species
AGGUUAGUAUCUCGCGAGGCUCAAAUGGGCCAUCAAGAAGGUAACUUUUUAGAUGAAUCUGGCUAUAUCGGUGAAACCCAAGUCCUGGGGUAACGCCGAGGGAAGUCCCGCUUAGCGGGACCCCGUAGAGACUACACGCCGGCUCCUGGUGCAGUAUCAGGAUGAAGACAUAGUCCGACACUUUGGGAAACCAAAGA